rnacentral:rRNA from 1 species
UGGGGAAUAUUGCACAAUGGGCGAAAGCCUGAUGCAGCCAUGCCGCGUGUGUGAAGAAGGCUCUAGGGUUGUAAAGCACUUUCAGAAGGGAGGAAAGGUUGUAAGUUAAUACCUUGCAGCUGUGACGUUACCUUCAGAAGAAGCACCGGCUAACUCCGUGCCAGCAGCCGCGGUAAUACGGAGGGUGCAAGCGUUAAUCGGAAUUACUGGGCGUAAAGCGCGCGUAGGUGGUCUGUUAAGCGGAAUGUGAAAGCCCCGGGCUCAACCUGGGAACUGCAUUGCGAACUGGCAGACUAGAGUACAGUAGAGGGUAGUGGAAUUUCCUGUGUAGCGGUGAAAUGCGUAGAGAUGGGAAGGAACAUCAGUGGCGAAGGCGACUGCCUGGACUGAUACUGACACUGAGGUGCGAAAGCGUGGGGAGCAAACAGG